GGGCUCGAUCCCAAGACUCUGGGAUCAUGACCUGAGCCAAAGGCAGACGCUUAACGACUGAGCCACCCAGGCGCCCCUGGAUCAAGAAUUUUUAUAUAGACCUCCUGUCAUGUCUGUGCAUUUAAAUGUGCUUAUUAAUGCAUCAUUGUUUAGGAAGGUCAAAGCUCUGCCCUGGCUUUUUAAGAUUCAGGCCUGUCCAUUCUUGUACAGUUGUGCAAAGGAGUAUAUCUCUACACAUGUUAACUCAAAUGUCCAGCAAGACCCAGGUAUUUGAAUCUUUUUUUUUUUUUUAAAGAUUUUAUUUAUUUAUUCAUGAGAGACAGAGAGAGAGAGAGAGGCAGAGGGAGAAGCAGGCUCCCAAGGAGCAGGGAGCCUGAUGCGGGACUCGAUCCCAGGACCCUGAGAUCAUGACCCGAACCGAAGGCAGACACUUAACCAUCUGAGCCACCCAGGCACCCAAGACCCAGAUUUUAUUUAUUUGAGAGAGAGCAUGAGAGAGAAAGCUCACAAGCAGGGGAGGGGGUAGAGAGCCCACUUUGGGACUUGAUCCCAAGACCCCAGGAUCAUGACCUGAGCCGAAUGCAGACAGCCUACUGAGCCACCCAGGCAUCUUGUGAUUCCACUUUGAAACAAACAUUUCCUGCUACUCUUCUUUCAAGUUUUGGGAUUAAGUUUAACUGGAGAGUAUCCUGAGAUUGCAACAGUCUAAGCAGUCAUCCCAAUGUAAAGAAUCAACAUGCAAACUCUUAAGCCUUUCUAAAUUAUUCCAGCGAUGCUGCAGUAUUCUGUAAAGGCCAUAUGCCGACUGUAAGAAAGCAGAUCACCCUCGAGCUGUGCUGUUUCAUCACGAUAUGUCAUUUUUCACAAGUGCCAUGUGACGAUGACGUACAGAUUACAUUCUAUGUUUGAACACGGUAGUCACUCAAUAUACAUUUGUUGGCCGUAAGAAACCACUGGCUUCUAGAUCUGAACACAAACGUGUACGAGAUAGCCAAAACACUAAAAUUCAGGAUUCAGUACAUGCAACG